GGCUCUGUAGCGCAGCGGUUAGAGCGACCCUUUUAUACGGGGGGGUCGACGGUUCGAAUCCGUCCAGAGCUACCA
rnacentral:tRNA from 1 species